UACGUAGGGGGCAAGCGUUGAUCCGGAAUCAUUGGGCGUAAAGCGCGUGUAGGCGGUUCAGUAAGUCCGCUCUGAAAGCCCAGGGCUCAACCCUGGGAGGCGGGUGGAUACUACUGAACUAGAGUACGGAAGAGGAGAUUGGAAUUCCUGGUGUAGCGGUGAAAUGCGCAGAUAUCAGGAGGAACACCAGAGUCGGAAGGCAGAUCUCUGGGACGUAACUGACGCUGAGAGCGAGAACGUGGGGGAGCAAACAGG
rnacentral:rRNA from 1 species